rnacentral:rRNA from 1 species
UACAUGUGGGGCAAGCGUUGUUCGGAAUUACUGGGCAUAAAGGGUGCGUAGGUGGUUUGUUAAGUCAGGGGUGAAAUCCCGCGGCCCAACCGUGGAACUGCCUUUGAUACUGGCGAACUUGAGUGCGUGAGGGGUAGGGGGAACGAGCAGUGUAGCGGUGAAAUUCGUAGAUAUUAGCUAGAACACCAGUGGCGAAGGCGGCCAACUGGUCCGACACUGACGCUGAGGUGCGAAAGCGUGGGGAGCAAACAGG